UACGUAGGGGGCCAGCGUUGCUCGGAAUUACUGGGCGUAAAGGGUCCGUAGGCGGUGCGGCAAGUCGAUAGUGAAAUCCCUAGGCUUAACCUAGGGGCUGCUAGCGAAACUGCCGUGCUAGAGUGUGAGAGAGGCGAGUGGAAUUACGGGUGUAGCGGUGAAAUGCGUAGAUAUCGGAAGGAACACCAGUGGCGAAAGCGACUUCCUGGUCGAAUACUGACGUUCAUGUGCGAAAGCGUGGGGAGCAAACAG
rnacentral:rRNA from 1 species